rnacentral:rRNA from 1 species
UACGGGGGGGGCAAGCGUUGUUCGGAAUUACUGGGCGUAAAGGCGCGUAGGCGGCCUGCUAAGUCGGACGUGAAAUCCCUCGGCUCAACCGGGAACUGCGUCCGAUACUGGUGGGCUCGAAUCCGGGAGAGGGAUGUGGAAUUCCAGGUGUAGCGGUGAAAUGCGUAGAUAUCUGGAGGAACACCGGUGGCGAAGGCGGCAUCCUGGACCGGUAUUGACGCUGAUGCGCGAAAGCCAGGGGAGCAAAGCGGG